AUGAGCGCAAGAGAUGGAUUAUUCCGUGUUUUGUGAUAUAUACAGCUUUUUCAGUUUUAUCUACUCCUACCCCUUUCACAAAUACUCUCAAAUUGCAGAGUUUAAAUGGGAUUCACAUAUGUCUGAUCUGCCAUUCCUAUGGGUUCUCUGCGGUGAAGAAAGGCGUGGAAUGAAUGGAGGCUAAAAAAUAUCACAAAACACCGGAAUAAUCUUUCUCUUAAGCCCAU
rnacentral:pre_miRNA from 1 species